rnacentral:rRNA from 1 species
GAAUUUUGGACAAUGGGGGCAACCCUGAUCCAGCCAUCCCGCGUGUGCGAUGAAGGCAUUCGGGUUGUAAAGCACUUUUGGCAGGGAAGAAAAGGCUCUGGCUAAUACCUGGAGCUGCUGACGGUACCUGCAGAAUAAGCACGGGCUAACUACGUGCCAGCAGCCGCGGUAAUACGUAGGGUGAAAACGUUAAUCGGAAUUAAUGGGAGUAAAGCGUGAGCAGGCGGUUCGGCAAGAAGGAUGUGAAAUCCCAGGGCUUAACCUUGGAACUGCAUUCUUAACUGCCGUGCUAGAGUAUGUCAGAGGGGGGUAGAAUUCCGCGUGUAGCAGUGAAAUGCGUAGAGAUGCGGAGGAAUACCGAUGGCGAAGGCAGCCCCCUGGGAUAAUACUGACGCUCAUGCACGAAAGCGUGGGGAGCAAAC